AUGUCCAAGAACAGUACGAAGGGCACUAAAAAUUCUAGGACUAGGAACACAUGUCGCGUUGUACAUUCUGAUGAAGAAUCAGAAGAGGAUAGCCAGGAGAAAGAUGCAUGCAAAUUCAAGGAAUCUAGCCCCAAAAGAAAGCGUACAAUAAGCAUUACUGAAGACAAAGAUUCUGAAAAAGAUGGAACUGAGAAUUAUUCAAAGACCAGCAUAAGGCUUACUGGUGUUGUUGAUAAGGGAUCUAAGAAGAAAGGAAUUCAGAAUGAUAACCAUGAGCAAGUGAAAAAAUUAUCACUUUCAAAAACUAUAAAGCAAGAAUCAGAGGAUGAUGAACUCACUAUUGACCAGACUAAAAGGGGUAGGAGACGGAGCACAGGUCGUGCUGCACAUCUUGACGAUGAAUCAAAAGCUGAAGGUAGUCAGGAAAUAAACAAAUCCAAAUCUAUGGAAUCAAGCCCCAAGAGGAAGCGUGUUGUAGGCAAAUGCGCCGGUGUUUAUCAGGAGCACAAUAAUUCAAGGCCUAGGACAAGGCUUAGUUGUGUCGAUAAAAAAUCACUAAGCAAAGGCAUUCAGAAGUCUGGUGUAUUAAGGACUCGAAAGACAAGUCGCUAA
rnacentral:rRNA from 1 species